ensembl:lncRNA
GUGGAUUCAUGACCGUAUCAGACAAGGCCUCUGAGCUAGUGAUAGGUGGAUUCAUGACCAUAUGAGACAAGGCCUCUGAGCUAGUGAUAGGUGGAUUCAUGACCAUAUGAGACAAGGCCUCUGAGCUAGUGAUAGGUGGAUUCAUGACCGUAUCAGACAAGGCCUCUGAGCUAGACAGCGCUGUGUGAGAAGUUCUGAGAACCAUGUGAAGUUGGAAUAUACUGUUUGGCACUAAGCCUGGCCAACACUCUUCUGUCCCAGCCUGACCUUUAACCUCUAGAUCAGGGGUAGUCAACUCUGACCCGACGAGAGCCUGCUGUUUUUCUGUUCUACCUGAUAACUAGUCAGUCAGCCAGCCAGUCAGCCAGCCAGUCAGUCACCAGAACCAGCGAGUCAGUCACCAGAACCAGCCAGCCAAUCAGCCAGCCGGCCAGCCAGUCAGUUACCAGAACCAGCCAGUCAGUCACCAGAACCAGCCAGCCAAUCAGCCAGCCGGCCAGCCAGUCAGUCACCAGAACCAGCCAGUCAGUCACCAGAACCAGCCAGCCAAUCAGCCAGCCGGCCAGCCAGUCAGUUACCAGAACCUGCCAGCCAGUCAGUCACCAGAACCAGCCAGC